GUGACUUUCACAGAAACAGCCUCAUCAUCUCUAAAUGUCUCUUGAUGCAUGAAAACUAUUAAAUCUGAAUUAAUAAUAUAAUCAGAAAGACUCUGUACUGAUCAUCACACAUCUGAACUCAGGGUUUUUGCUCAGAGAGUCACUUUGCAUCGGCUCAUGCUUCAGCGCUCCGAGUGUUUAUAGCGUUCAGACUCAAACACUUUAUAACACACUGCUGUUUACCACGGUACAAACCCAACAAACACCAUGAAUCUCUUCAGCAGCUUCAUCUGGAUUCUGGCAGCUUUUAUUCCAGCAUCCAGAGGAAUCACUGUGACUCAGCCUGAAGCUGUGACUGUUUCUGAAGGACAAAACGCCAAAAUAGAGUGUAAAACUGAUACUGGGAUAAGUGGCUGGGGUUUAGCUUGGUAUCAGCAGAAACAUGGAGAAGCUCCUAAACUCAUCAUUUAUUCUGUAAAUGAUCGAUAUGAUGAGAGUUUCAGUCGAUUCAGUGGGAAUGGAAGAUCUGGAGGGACUGAUUUCACUCUGACCAUCAGUGGAGUCCAGACUGAAGAUGCUGGACAUUAUUACUGUCAGAGUUAUCACUACAUCAACAGUAAAAAUGUGUUCACACAGUGAUAAAGAGUCGUACAA